UACAGAGGUGGCAAGCGUUGUUCGGAAUUACUGGGCGUAAAGGGCGCGUAGGCGGCCUUCUAAGUCAGACGUGAAAUCCCCCGGCUUAACCUGGGAACUGCGUCUGAUACUGGAGGGCUUGAGUGCGGGAGAGGGAUGUGGAAUUCCAGGUGUAGCGGUGAAAUGCGUAGAUAUCUGGAGGAACACCGGUGGCGAAGGCGGCAUCCUGGACCGACACUGACGCUGAGGCGCGAA
rnacentral:rRNA from 1 species